rnacentral:rRNA from 1 species
GUAGUCAUAUGCUUGUCUCNAAGAUUAANCCANGCANGUCUAAGUNUAAGCAAUUAUUCCGCGAAACUGCGAAUGGCUCAUUAAAUCAGUUAUCGUUUAUUUGAUAGUNCCUUNCUACAUGGAUAACCGUGGUAAUUCUAGAGCUAAUACAUGCUAAAAAUCCCGACUUCGGAAGGGAUGUAUUUUAUUAGAUUAAAAACCAAUGCCUUCGGGGCUCUCUGGUGAUUCAUAAUAACUUCUCGAAUCGCACGGCCUUGCGCCGGCGAUGGUUCAUUCAAAUUUCUGCCCUAUCAACUUUCGACGGCUGGGUCUUGGCCAGCCGUGGUGACAACGGGUAACGGAGGGUUAGGGCUCGACCCCGGAGAAGGAGCCUGAGAAACGGCUACUACAUCCAAGGAAGGCAGCAGGCGCGCAAAUUACCCAAUCCCGACACGGGGAGGUAGUGACAAUAAAUACUGAUACAGGGCUCUUUCGGGUCUUGUAAUUGGAAUGAGUACAAUUUAAAUCCCUUAACGAGGAACAAUUGGAGGGCAAGUCUGGUGCCAGCAGCC